AAUCAGGCCCUCGAGGACUGGAGUUGUCCACCCCUGGUUUAGGUUGUCAGGAACAAUGGUGGACAUCUUGAAGCAAGUGCGGACAGCAGACUGGGAUAGGGAGUGUGACAAUAAUGCUAGUACCAACUCGAACCCAGGCGCAGAGAAACACAGCAGGCAGAGCUCAUGAGUGUGAGAGACUGAACUGAGUAAUCUAUCCACAAAGUAGAUGGAUGGACGACUUACAGCUAGAUAGGGAGGUGCUUACCCGCAUUGCCAUGAUGACCCAGGACCAUUACCCAGUGAAAUUGGCUAUUACCUCCAGGCUGCAAAAUAAGUACACAGUUAAUUUCUUCUCACAGUCUGAUUGUCCAAAUGCAGGAUGAUGUCAGUAUGGACACAUUUGUCCAGGACCUCUCCAUGACCCUGCAGCCUGUGAGUUCAGCUGACCUGCUGCCUCUGCUCACUGACCAGGACUCCUGCAGUCCUAGCAUGGAUGUGGAUCCCAACACAGCAUGUGCAACCCUCUCUCUGUCCAGCAUUUAAGUAUUGAAAAGGUGUGGGGCUACGAAGAAAAAUAGAACAGUGCAAUUUGAAGUCAGCCUUUGAACGGGGUAGUAGGUGCCAGAUGCACUAGUUUGUGUAAGGAACUACAACACUGCUGGGUUUUUCACGCUCAACAGUUUCCUGUGUGUUUCAAGAAUGGUCCACCACCCAAGGAACAUACUGUCAACUUGACAGAACUUUGGGAAGCAUUGGUGUCAACAUGGGCCAGCAUCCCUGUGGAACACUUGUCACCUUGUAGAGUCCAUGCCCCGACGAAUUGAGGGUGUUCUCAGGGGAGAGGGUGCAAGACUGCAAAGCUGUCAUCAAGGCAAAGGGUGGCUACUUUGAAGACUCUCAAAUACAAAACAUAUUCUGAAUUGUUUAACACUUUUUUGAUUACUACAUGAUUCCAUAUGUGUUAUUUCAUAGUUUUGAUGUCUUCACUAUUAUUCUACAAUGUAGAAAAUAGUAAAAAUAAAGAAAAACCCUUGAAUUAGUAGGUGUUC